GGGUUAGUAGGUUGGUCAUGCCUCUGGUAUGUACUGAUCUCUCUGAUUCCUCCCUCUUGACGAACUGUAAUGUCAUUAAUUUGGUGUUGCAGGAAAUCAGGACUGUUACUUUGAAAAAAUUAGAGUGUUUAAAGCAGGCUAAGGCUUGAAUACAUUAGCAUGGAAUAAUGAAAUAGGACGUUUGAACCUAUUUUGUUGGUUUCUAGGAUCGACGUAAUGAUUAAUAGGGAUAGUUGGGGGCAUUAGUAUUCAAUUGUCAGAGGUGAAAUUCUUGGAUUUAUUGAAGACUAACUACUGCGAAAGCAUUUGCCAAGGAUGUUUUCAUUAAUCAAGAACGAAAGUUAGGGGAUCGAAGACGAUCAGAUACCGUCGUAGUCUUAACCAUAAACUAUGCCGACUAGGGAUCGGAUGAUGUUAAUUUUUUAAUGACUCAUUCGGCGCCUUACGGGAAACCAAAGUGUUUGGGUUCCGGGGGGAGUAUGGUCGCAAGGCUGAAACUUAAAGGAAUUGACGGAAGGGCACCACCAGGGGUGGAGCCUGCGGCUUAAUUUGACUCAACACGGGGAAACUCACCAGGUCCAGACAUAGUAAGGAUUGACAGAUUGAGAGC
rnacentral:rRNA from 1 species